ensembl:misc_RNA Metazoa_SRP Metazoan signal recognition particle RNA
GCUGGGCAUGGUGGCAUGUGCCUGUAGUCCCAGCUACUCAGGAAGCUGAGGCAGGAGGAUUAUUUGAGCCUGGGAGGUCAAGGCUGCAGUGAGCUAUCAUCACACCACUGCACUCUAGCCUGGGCAAAAGAGCAAGAUCCUGUCUCAA